GCCAGGCACGAGGAUAAGCACAGAGGCUGCAAAGCUGGCCGGUCAUGACCUUGCCCGCAGGGACCCAUCCCCUCAACCCACCCCCCACCCAGCCUGGACCUCUGACUGAGUGAAGUUCCUCUGGUAGAUGCAGAGUUGGUUCCAUGCACCACAAAUGCUCUUGGACGGGUCACAGGACCAGUGCCAGUCUCAGCUCUGCAGACAACACCUGAGCCCCUUACAUGGAGGGGGUCAUUUCUGCCCUUGCGACUGAGUCUCUUUCGAUGGCCAGUGAGAACACAGGACGUGCUUUGCCAGAGAAGAGAAAUCAACAUUCCCCCGAUGAAUCACCAGCUACUACUAAGAAACAUCGAAAGACUGGGCCUCAAACGAAGGUCAUUAAUUCACAGUCCUGAAGGUAGUGAACCUUGUGGAAGGUUUACAACAUCCACAAGAGAGUCCCAAACCGUUUUGAGCAAGGAACACAUCCUUAGCCCAGGAUUCAAAUUUUCUGGGAUUUUCUCAACAAGUUUGAAGAUUCAGGCAAAAUCUGUCAUGAGAUAUACAAAUUUAGCCUUUGGCAAAAUCUAUCAUGCUAUUAAUUCAAUUAACUGUAACUAGUAUUUGUAUUACCCAUUGAAUUACUGAUUUUUUGGAUGACUGUUUUGAUUGUUCAGACAAAAGUGAAAAAAAAUACUCUUUGGCUUUUAUAUACUCAGGGGAAGUAAAGCGCCAAGAAAAGUCAUCAGACAGUUCAUGUCAAAAUAGGAUUUUAACCUGAAUUGUUUGCUUUCCCAUGGCUUACAACAGUGGAAACUGCAGCAAAUACCCACUUGAAUUAAUCUGUGGAACUUUGCUCUCAUCAAUGUGUAAUGUGGCAAAUAGAGUGUUUCCUUUCGUGAUAUACUCAGUCUUUCCUCUUCUCUGUAUUCAGUGAAAUCUCAGCAAGGGAAAAAUAAUCAUUCUUAAGGAUCAUUUGGAAAUGGAUUUUAACCUAAGAGCAAGAGAACCAGAAAUAUAUAGUGUAAACAUUUCUAAACACAAAAUCAGGUGUUUAUCCUAAGUGGUUUCUAGAAAGCCUACAUACAAAUGUAUGAGUAUUUAAUGCCUUAAAAAAGACUCAGUUACAUGCACUUAAAUACUGUUAUUUUUAAUAAAUUCAAUUUUAUUUCUGCUAUAAAUUCUUGGCUAAACUAAGGGGAAUUUUGCAGAGGACAUUAUGUUCCUACUACAUGGACUACAUUAUAUUUUGAACUUUUUCAAAGAAUAGAAGACUCUAAGUAACUUGAAAGGCUAUCUUGAUUUUUCCAAAUUUAUGCUCCAGGUACUUUGGCAUGAUUCAGAACUGAUGUCAAAUCCAGGC